UACGGGGGGGGCAAGCGUUGUUCGGAAUUACUGGGCGUAAAGGGCGCGUAGGCGGCCAUCUAAGUCGGACGUGAAAUCCCUCGGCUUAACCGAGGAACUGCGUCCGAUACUGGAAGGCUUGAAUCCGGGAGAGGGAUGUGGAAUUCCUGGUGUAGCGGUGAAAUGCGCAGAUAUCAGGAAGAACACCUAUGGCGAAGGCAGCUCUCUGGGACGGUACUGACGCUGAGACGCGAAAGCGUGGGGAGCGAACAGG
rnacentral:rRNA from 1 species